rnacentral:rRNA from 1 species
GAUGAACGCUGGCGGCGUGCCUAAUACAUGCAAGUCGAGCGAACAGAUGAGGAGCUUGCUCCUCUGACGUUAGCGGCGGACGGGUGAGUAACACGUGGAUAACCUACCUAUAAGACUGGGAUAACUUCGGGAAACCGGAGCUAAUACCGGAUAAUAUAUUGAACCGCAUGGUUCAAUAGUGAAAGACGGUUUUGCUGUCACUUAUAGAUGGAUCCGCGCCGCAUUAGCUAGUUGGUAAGGUAACGGCUUACCAAGGCAACGAUGCGUAGCCGACCUGAGAGGGUGAUCGGCCACACUGGAACUGAGCCACGGUCCAGACUCCUACGGGAGGCAGCAGUAGGGAAUCUUCCGCAAUGGGCGAAAUCCUGACGGAGCAACGCCGCGUGAGUGAUGAAGGUCUUCGGAUCGUAAAACUCUGUUAUUAGGGAAGAACAAAUGUGUAAGUAACUAUGCACGUCUUGACGGUACCUAAUCAGAAAGCCACGGCUAACUACGUG